AACGAACGCUGGCGGCAUGCCUAACACAUGCAAGUCGUGCGAGAAAGUUCCUUCGGGAGCGAGUAAAGCGGCGCACGGGUGAGUAACACGUAGGUAACCUGCCCCCCAGUCUGGAACAACUAGAGGAAACUCUAGCUAAUGCCGGAUGAGACCACGAUCCCUUCGGGGGUUGCGGCCAAAGAUGGCCUCUACUUGUAAGCUAUCGCUGAGGGAUGGGCCUGCGGGCCAUUAGCUUGUUGGUGAGGUAACGGCUCACCAAGGCUGUGAUGGCUAGCUGGUCUGAGAGGAUGACCAGCCACACUGGGACUGAGACACAGCCCAGACUCCUACGGGAGGCAGCGGUGGGGAAUAUUGCGCAAUGGGCGAAAGCCUGACGCAGCGACGCCGCGUGGGUGAUGAAGGCCU
rnacentral:rRNA from 1 species